AGAGUUUGAUCGUGGCUCAGAAUCAACGCUGGCGGCGUGCCUAACACAUGCAAGUCGAACGCGAAAGGGGAGCAAUCCCUGAGUAGAGUGGCGAACGGGUGAGUAACACGUGGGUGACCUGCCUUCGAGUGGGGGAUAACGUCCCGAAAGGGACGCUAAUACCGCAUGACAUCCUGCCUUUGAAGAGGCGGUGAUUAAAGCUGGGGAUCGCAAGACCUGGCGCUUGAAGAGGGGCUCGCGUCCGAUUAGCUAGUUGGUGGGGUAAUGGCCUACCAAGGCGACGAUCGGUAGCCGGCCUGAGAGGGCGGACGGCCACACUGGGACUGAGACACGGCCCAGACUCCUACGGGAGGCAGCAGUGGGGAAUUGUUCGCAAUGGGCGAAAGCCUGACGACGCAACGCCGCGUGGAGGAUGAAGAUUUUCGGAUCGUAAACUCCUUUCGAUCGGGACGAAUCGGUCGCGACCUAACACGUCGUGGCACUGACGGUACCGAGAGAAGAAGCCCCGGCUAACUCCGUGCCAGCAGCCGC
rnacentral:rRNA from 1 species